rnacentral:tRNA from 1 species
GGCUCGGUAGCUUAGUUGGUAAAGCGCUCGUCGAGCAUACAAGAGUCCUGGGUUCAAAUCCCAGCCGAGCAC